rnacentral:rRNA from 1 species
GACGAACGCUGGCGGCGUGCUUAACACAUGCAAGUCGAACGAAGAGCGAUGGAAGCUUGCUUCUAUCAAUCUUAGUGGCGCACGGGUGAGUAACGCGUAAUCAACCUGCCCUUCAGAGGGGGACAACAGUUGGAAACGACUGCUAAUACCGCAUACGAUCUAAUCUCGGCAUCGAGGAUAGAUGAAAGGUGGCCUCUACAUGUAAGCUAUCACUGAAGGAGGGGAUUGCGUCUGAUUAGCUAGUUGGAGGGGUAACGGCCCACCAAGGCGAUGAUCAGUAGCCGGUCUGAGAGGAUGAACGGCCAUAUUGGGACUGAGACACGGCCCAGACUCCUACGGGAGGCAGCAGUGGGGAAUCUUCCGCAAUGGACGAAAGUCUGACGGAGCAACGCCGCGUGAGUGAUGACGGCCUUCGGGUUGUAAAGCUCUGUUAAUCGGGACGAAAGGCCUUCUUGCGAAUAGUGAGAAGGAUUGACGGUACCGGAAUAGAAAGCCACGGCUAACUACGUG